rnacentral:rRNA from 1 species
AAUGAACGCUGGCGGCAGGCCUAACACAUGCAAGUCGAGCGGAUGAUGCGGGGUUAGCGCUGGAUUGGGGAGUAAAGGGGUGGGUUAUGCCCUUGUCUAUGGCAUGGUGUGGGGAAUCUGGUGGGGAUACGGGAUAUGCUCUUGCGUGGGUAGUUUUGGCGGGGAAGGAGUAGCUCGCGUCGGAUCAGGUUGUUGUGAGGGUAAUUGCCUACCAAUCGGACGAUCCAUAGCUGGUUUGAGAGGAUGAUCUGCCACACUGGGACUGAGACACGGCCCAGACUCCUACGGGAGGCAGCAGUGGGGAAUCUUAGACAAUGGGGGCAACCCUGAUCUAGCCAUGCCGCGUGAGUGAUGAAGGCCUUAGGGUUGUAAAGCUCUUUCAGCUGGGAAGAUAAUGACGGUACCAGCAGAAGAAGCCCCGGCUAACUCCGUG